rnacentral:lncRNA from 1 species
AAAACUGAUUCGGUGUCAAUCACCAAGUACUUUCAAGAGAGGGGGUUAAAGAAAACUGAUUACUUUCUAAAUGUCUUGAAGUUAAUUAGAAUUCGGAUUAGGUGUCAAUGACCGAGGGCCAAGAACUUUCACAUGAAAGACCCCCCGUUAGGCCAUCUCUAACCCAAAGACCUAAAUCCAAAAUAUCCCAAAUUAUUGCCCCAAAUUUCUUCCAAUCCAAGAAAAUAAAAGGGCCAAAAUUUGAGAAAACUCAAAUUUGGAACCAAAUACCAGUCCAAAUAUUGCCUAGAUCCAAAACUAUUUAGUGGAGCUCGCGCUGAGAUGGCACAACCCAUGUGCAUCAGAAAAACACUGGGGCCAGCUCUAGUGGGUUUGUCUGUUGGGCCAUGCCACGUGUCUGCUCCUAGUGAAGUGUCGUUGCAAUUCAAAUGUCUCCUCUUUUUUUUUUCUUUUUUUUUAAAUCUAAUAGUAACUUUAAAAAGUGACUGGGCCCAUGCGGCUGACUUUUGGAAUAAAAUUAAAUUUAUAGAAUUUCAAAUUUUUUUAAAGUCAAAUUGUUCAACAAAUUAAAUUAUGAUGUUAUUUAAAAAGAUUAAAUGAAGAAAAGUUUUCCAUUAACAAAAAAAUUAGACUUAAACUAUUCUUAAACAAUUUAAUAAAGGUAUGGACUUAAAAUUUGAGUCCAGAGGGUUGGGAGAAAAAACAAUUUGAAUCUGGGCAAAAUCCAAAUAGUCACUUUUUAGAAAGGAAAAAUUUGGGAUUAGCCCCUCAUGGAUUGGAGAAGGCCUUAUGAACCUCACUAAUCUCUUUGAACUCGCUCUCACAAGCGAGAAGUCUUUUUUUUGGUUUUUUUUUUUUUUUUUUUGGUUUUUUUUUCCCGCUGCGGCUUUCCAAAACUUCAAAAUUGCCAUGCCGAGAGACUUUUUCUAUAAGGCACUGGAGCCAAACAAAACAACAUAAAUAUAAAAGCAAUAAAAACAUAUCAUCUAAGCAGAUCAAGGCUAAUGCCAUAAGCUAUCAUCUUCAAGGGGCGAGUAACUAUAAUAAGAGUUAAUUGUAGCAAAUUGUCCUUCAAUUAUACCCCUAUUGGCAUUUUAGUCCCCCAACCACUACACUAUCGUCCUUCAAUUAGGACUCUGAUCUGAUUACAUAGCAUGUAUUCUGAACACAUCCUCUUGAUUGAUUUCUUCAAGAGUAUGAUUUCUCGAAGGAAUUGAUCCUUUCUCAUUUCAGAAUAUAUAUUGUUCAUGUUUAGAAUCUGAGUUGAGCUGCUGGUUCCAUAGAGUGAAAGAACUGAGGAGAAGCUGCCAUGUCCAUGAAGAACUAGCUUCUAGCUGGACUAAGUUGGCGAAGAAGAUUGCACAGUGAAGUAUAGUUGGUUUCCUAAAUAGAUCUAGGAUUUUUUGAGCUUGUAAUAUCCUUUUCUUGUAAGAAUCUUAUUUGCUUAGUAGAUUGCCUGUUUGGAUGAUGACUUCGGGUGACCAAAAUCUAGUAUGUAUUUUGUAUGUGAUUGUGUGUGGCUGUUUAUCUUUGAAUGCAUACCAAGUGUAUGACAAAUUUUUUAAAAGGAUUUUUGGAUUCUGUGUGUAUUUCGUUUGCAGAAAGUUGUACUAGAUGACUAGUCAUGGAUACUAGUCACCUAUACUAAGUUUUGUUCAAGUCGAAUAUGUGUAUGUGAAUUGCAUGCUUAUAUUAAAUCUUGGUGCUAUAUCUAUAUAGCAUGUCAUUCUAUCUCACCUUGUCCAUAUUGCUUGUGUGCACACACAUGAUUCACUCUAGUUGUUGUUGGCACUGGGGACUUCUAACUUGACGGAUUCUUUCGAGUGCCUAAGUUGUCACUUAGCUCUCUUCUAGGUUUGCAUGUUGUUUUGAUUGUUUGAUUGUGGAUUUGGUUGUUGAUUGUGUGUUCAUAUAUUUGUGACUAGUUGUUGGCUAAUCAUACUGUACUAGGUUCAUUUAAUCAUUACUUCCAUAGACAUGUUGAGUUUGUUUUAACUUUACCCCUCCUACCUAAAUACCAAUUUCACCAGGUCAACCUCAACACAUAAACCCCUUAAAUAAAACUUAUACUGUACCUGAAUAACAUAAAGGACUGAUACAAAUGUGGGAGGGAUAUAUCAACCUCUACUGCAUAAAGCCAUCAAGCUUGGAUAAACCAAGUAUCAACAACAUAAAACAAAAUUAAAACUAAAAUCCCACAAGGAGAAAUAAUAGACUCGUAACGAGUUGUUGCAACUUAUUCUGACUCAGAAUCGAACAUAAAAACUUAAGACUUUGAAAACAACUUGCACAACAACUACGGAGGAGCCGUUGUACUUUUUUUCAUCAUAUGGGAUUUAAAUUUUCCCUCUAACUUUGGUGUCCCUAGCAUUAUCGUCCACACGUACUCGGAUUUCUUUCUUAGUACUUGAGUACUUCUUGAGGAAACUUUUCAACCAGUGUGAGCCGAGAGUUUUGAGUGCCUUUUCAAUCCAUUGUCAUAAUCCACAAAGUUAAUACCAAACUGAACAAUGUAUCCAGAAUUCCAUUCAAAGUUGUCUAGCACUGACCAUGCAAAGUAGCCUUUCACUCUAACACCAUCUCUACACACACACACACACAAAAUUCAUAUCCAUUAGUGUCAAUAUAAUGAUUAAGUAAUCGAAAGGUAAGAAGGGUUAACAAAAACUUACUUAAUUGCAUCUUUAAGGUAACACAGGUGGUGAUAGUAGUAAUGAAUUCUAUUAAUAUCAUUGAGAGCUUCCUCAAGUGGUAAUAUGGGAUUACUGAACUCAUCCAUGCCUACACAAUAUAAUGCAUUAAUUUAGUUUUAAUUUUAAAUUUACACCACUUCAUUGUAUUUUACACCAUUAUACAUAUGUGGGAAACAUUGAUGAUGUAAUUAAUUAAGAUCUAAAAGUUCUAAUUACCAUUCUCUGUAAUGUAAAUAAGUGGAUUAUUAUACUUUUCCUUUGUGUGGAGUAAAAGCUUGUAGAUUCCUUUUGGGUAAACAUAUAACCAGUCUGAAACAGCCUGCAAUACCAUUUGAAGAUUACUGAGAUUUUUUGGAGUUAUAUUUUUAUGAGUAAAACAAUAUAUAUAGGAGUCAUAUUUGUAUGUGUAUAAUAUAUAUAUAUAUAUAUGUAUUAAUUGUUCAAAUGCAAAUAGCUUAAACUAAUAAUUUUAUGUGUACCUGUGGACCAAUGGGCACCCCAUUAAGCUCAACUGCCACAACAUAGAUAUAAAUAUGAAUAUUAGAAUCUAAUUAGAACUUAAUUAAUUAGUAGAAUUAAGUUUUCAAUUUUUCCUCACUUGUAAUAUUAACGCGAUGAUCUGCUAUGUAGCUUGGAGGUGCAAUAUAAUCCUUAGAGACAUCACUUGCAUAUCUAGCUGAAUAGUAAUUUAAUCCAAUAAAAUCAAAUGAUCCACUUAGCAACUUGGAUUGUUCUUCCGUGAAUACCGGUAAUCGUUCCCCAACAAGUUGCCCCAUGUUCUGCGGAUAGUCACCGCUUGUCAAUGGGUCCAUAAACCUAGAAAAAUAUGGAAACUCCAAGCAUGAGCGUAUAGUAUUGUAUAAAGUAUUGCUAGCCAAUAUUACAAUUCAGAUAUAAACAUUUAAUUGAGUUUAUAUAUAAAUUAAUACUAUACUUGCCAUCCAAACAUAAAAUCCAAAUAUCUAGAUGCAGCAUCGAUAUCUUCCUUUGACUCUGAAGCGGGCUCAAUCCAGUGUGACACCACUGUUAUUCCUAUCACACCAUUUUGAGAUGCCUACACUGAAAUUGGUACUUAGGUGGCGAGGGGUAAACUUAAAAGAUAUUCAACCAAGAACGCAACAAACUUCAUACACUCUAGACCUUGACCAAAUACUCUCAUGACUAGUCAACUGUCAGAUAUGAAUUAUACAAAAUAAUAACAUACACAGAGCAUACCAAGAUGUACCUGCAAGCUUAGAGAAUUACUAGUGACAACCUAGGCACUCAGAAGGACCCGUCAAUCUAGGCAUCCCAUGUGCUAGCAACAACUAUGAUGAAAGUGUAUGAAGACAACAUAAUCAAGCAAACACCAAACAGCAGAUAAUGAUGACUAGUCAACUACAAGGAUACAAACCCAGAAUUCAUAUGAUGACGAGUCAACCAUUAAGAACACAAACCCAGAAUUCAUAUGAUGACUAGUCAACCAUAAUUCAUACGAUGACUAGUCAACCACCAAGAACACAAACCCAAAAUUCAUAUGAUGACUAGUCAACCACAAUUCAUACGAUGACUAGUCAACCACCAAGAACACAAACCCAGAAUUCAUACGAUGACUAGUCAACCACCAAGAACACAAACCCAGAAAAAUUACAGAGAUGCAAAUAGAAAUUGUUUACCCAGAAACCCACCAUUGGGAAAAACUGGGGGUCAUCAACCGACUAGGCAAUCCACUAAGUAGAAAAAGAUUCUUACAAAGGAACACAAGCAAGCUCAAGAAAAACCUAGAUCUAUUUAGGAAGAUGAGCUAUACCUCCUUUGUGCAAUCUUCUUCUCCAACUUAGCAAAGCUUGAAGCUCAGUUCUUCAUGGCAAUGGCAGCUCCUUCUCCAGCUCAUUCAUCCCAUGGCACCAGCUUGCAAGCUCCAACUCAGACAGAAACCAAAAUUUGGAUUCAAAGGAGAAUGACCAAUUUCCUCAAGAAACCAUACUCUUGAAGAAAUCAGUCAUGAAUCUAACCUAGAUAUAAAUGAGAGAGUGUUUUAAGUAGCUAGAUGCAGAUUCGUAUUCAAAUGCAGUUUUUCAAGAAGAAAUCGAUUGGGAAAAACUCAUAGAUGAAAUAUAUGGUUCUCUCUUGAGGAAGAAGAAGCGAAAGAUGGCAAGCCAAACUUUCCAAAACUUCCACCCAAAAGAGACAACUGCCCAAAGAAGAAUUCCUUAGCCUUUACAGACAAAAAUUUCCUUAGGUCAGAAUCACACAUGGCAGCAGAGAGAAACGAGAAUAGGACAAAAAAGUUGGUUAUCCAGCUGGAAAUCCUACAGAGCAAGGAUGACUAGUCAUACAAGAAACAGAUGACUAGUCAUCAUUUUAUGAAAACAGUUUAAUGCAAUGUUAUGCAAUGCACAAUUUACCUUUGUCAAUUUGCUUGAAGCUCCAUAGGAUUGUUGUUAGUUAAGAACACCUAGAGAAGCUAUUCUCAAUCUAAACUUGAGCUUGAUAAAUAACAAUAGAAAUCCUAUUACAAAGUUGUCAAGGAAAGCCAAAAGAAAAACUCAAAAUGCAUACAUUAACAUACACACAAAAAUUCAAUAACAAUAAUAUUUGUUAAUUUAGAGCCCCAAAAAAAAAAAAAGUCAACUUUUAUUUAUUUCAAUUAAAAAAAAAGUAUUCCCUAUUUUAUUGUUAUUAAAUACUCUCGACUAUUAUGGAAUUCUUAAUUAUGACCUCAAUAUGCAAACAAAGAAAAAUAAUAAUUAAAAUGACCUGAUAUUUAUCCUUGUAUACUUUUACAACAGCUACAUGAGCAAGGAGUUGGUUGUGUGUCACCAAAUAUGGUUCAGUACCCAAAUCUCCACCAAGGCAGCUUGGGGUUUGCCAAUCAGAGCAUCAUCCAGGUGCGUGGAUCCCAAUUGCAUAAGCAUGGUGACUAACGGCGUAUGGCUCAUUUAAUGUAAUCCAAUGCUUUAUUCGAUCACCAAAUUUCUUAAAACAAAGUUCUGUAUAUUCUUUGAAGCUGUCUCUAGGAAUCUAGGAAUAGUACUACAAAUAUCCGAACCCUUAGGUGUAGCCGUCACUUUACCUCUAUAAUUGGGUUGGGACCACCUUAAAGUGGCAUAGUAGAUUCUGGUUUUGCUGCCGAACCUUAGGUGUAGCGUCACUUUGCCUCCAUGGGUUAAAAUAUAAAUAAUUAAAAGCACAAAAUCACUUUUGAUUCCUGUAAUUUGUUGGGUUUACAACUUUGGUUCUGUAGUUUGAAUUUUGUCAUUUUUAUAGUUAUAUUUUUGAAUUCAUAGCAAUUCAAGUACACGAUUUAAUUUUUAUCAAAUUCCUCCAGAUUCUGUGAUGUUUUGAUUAUGUGACACUCCCACUCAAGUCAAAUUCCUCCCAGUUUAAACUUAAAUUGCAAAUUUUAUUCAAAACCCUAAGCCCCAAAAUCAUACCUAAUAAAUUGAUAAAUGGGAUGACCUCUAGUUGUGUUUUACUGUUACAUGGCUCGGGUGGACUGACAUACCCCUCCACGUGAGAGGCACAUAAUCAAAAGUUAAUGAAAUUGAGAAGAAAAUUGAAAUGUAUCCUUAAAUUCAUCCAAAUUGAAAAUUACAAUGAUCAAAUUAUCAAAAUUGAAACUAUGGGAAUCAAAGUUGUAAAAUCGACAAACUAUAAGAGCAUCCACGAUCAUGCUCCUUAUUUUUUAGUUAAAAUUUAGCUAAAAACACUAGAAAGCUAUUUUAGGAGCUCCUUAUAAAAUUUCAACUUCAAUCAUGCUCUCUAGUUUAGGGAAUCAUAAAUGAUUUAUUUCUUUUUUUAGUUUAGCAUAAAUGUUCCCUCUUCACAUAAAAUAAUAAUACUUAGUUAGCAUUAAAUAAAUACUUAAAAUAUUAUUAAAGUAAAGCAACAUUUAAUUAUAGGGAAUCAUUAAGAGUCCUUUCUCUCUCCUUAUAUUUAGGAGCUCCUAAAGAUCUCCUUAUUUCAAGAGUUGGAUAGGGAGCAUGGUCGGAUGUGGGUUUUCUCAUUUCCUCCCUAAAUUUUAUCUGAGAAGGCGGUUGAGGGAGUCCAUUGUGGAUACUCUAAGACCACAAGUAACAUUUUGCCAAAAAAAUCAUAAUUAAUAAUAAUUUUUUGGAAAAAUAAGUUGAUGACUUUUUCCUUGUUUGGAAAAAAAAAAGUAAUCCAAAAUAUCCAAUCGGGACCGUCUUUAAGUGGCGGAAUGGGAACAAGAAAGUAAAUAACUCAAACGCAAGAACUGGAUUGAAUGACUUAUUAUUGAACAGCAACCUUUGGCUAUUAUAUAGUCUUACAUGAACUAACAAACAGUUGAAAUACAGCCCACAAUUCACACUAACAGAAACGUGGUAACGUGUAUAAGGAAAGAGUCCUAAACAGUAAACAAGUCUCCCUACAUAAUAGGGACUUAUUUGAAAUAGAAAACAAACCUAAAUAUAUGAGAAUCCUAUACUAAUAAGGAAUCCCAAACCCGUCAUUCCCUCCCUUAAACUAACUGCCAUCAAGCAUUUAGUUUACAUCAGCAAUUUCACAAACUCCCAACAGACUCCGAAGCUUCUGAAACGCAUCAACCUUCAAUGGUUUGGUCAUUACAUCUGCCACUUGAUCAUCACUCCCACAAUGAACCAAAGCAAUCGAACCCUCCUUUGUAAGAUUCCUCAAGAAGUGGUACCUUACAUCAAUAUGUUUGCUGCGACCAUGCAUCACAGGAUUCUUUGAAAGCUUAAUGGUUGAGCUAUUAUCACACUUGAUAUGAGUAUAGACUUCAUCACCAUGCCCGAGCUCCUUCAAUACCCUUUUCAUCCAAAUUGCUUGACACGCACACACUGCAGCUGCUACAAACUCUGCUUCCGUAGUAGAUAGCGUAACAAUUGGCUGUUUUUUCGAACUCCAUGACACAGCACCAGAACUUAGCAAGAACACAUAGCCACUUGUACUCUUCCUAUCUUCCAGAUCUCCUGCAUAAUCACUAUCCGUGAAAGCAAGCAAUUUACCAUCUCCACCUCUCUUGUAAUGGAUGCCAUAAUUCACAGUCCCCUUUAGAUAUCGAAGAGCUCUCUUCGCAGCUUGUAGAUGAAGCUCAGUUGGUUUUGCCAUAUACCUGCUUAUGAGGCUGGUGACAAACAUCAUGUCUGGUCUCGUGGCAGUAAGGUACAUCAAGCUUCCCACCAUUUGCUUGAAGUACGUCUCAUCCACAGUGAUUCCAUCUUCAUCCUUACUGAUCUUAAAGCCUGGAAUAAUUGGACUAUUCACCUCAUUGCUUUCCAGCAUCCCAAAUCUUUUCAGAAUUUCCAGUGCAUACCUUUUUUGACAUAUAAAGAUACCAUCUGCUCUUUGAAGUACUUCGAUGCGAAGGAAAAAUCUCAUGCUUCCCAAAUCAGACAUAUCAAAUUCUCUUAACAUAGAACUCUUGAACUCAGACAUCAUAUCCUCAUCAUCACCAGUAAAAAUUAAAUCAUCAACAUAGAUACUUACAAUGAUAAUCUUUCCUUCUCUGUUCCUCUUUGUAAACAAAGUUUGCUCACUGUCACACCUCUGGAAGCCUUCAUUGAUGAAAUGUGCUUCGAUCCGACUAAACCAAGCUCGUGGAGCUUGUUUUAAUCCAUACAAAGCCUUGUGUAGCUUGUAGACCAAAUGCUCCUUGCCUUUCUUCUUGUAACCUCUUGGUUGCUCAACGUAAACAUUUUCACUUAGUUCUCCAUGAAGGAAUGCUGACUUGACAUCCAACUGAAAAAUCUUCCAACCAUUUUGUGCUGCCAAAGCAAUGAUCGUUCUCACCAUGUCCAUCCUUGCCACUGGUGCAAAGACCUCUGUGUAGUCUAUGCUAUGCUUCUGUGAGUAGCUUUUGGCUAUUAAGCGUGCCUUAUGCUUGUCAAUCUCCCCAUGCUCAUUGUACUUGGUCUUGUAAACCCACUUGACACCGAUCUUUUUAGCUCCAGCAGGCAACUCAGUUAAUGUCCAUGUCUUGUUCUUUUCAAUGGAGUUGAUCUCACUGUCCAUAGCUUGUCUCCACUUUACAUUCCUCACUGCUUCUUCAAAAUGAAAAGGAUCUUCAGUUGCCACAACUUGUGCCAUGUGUGCCUCAUCUUCACUCAAACCUUCUCCACUAACAUAAUCAUUCAAAUAAGGAGGAGCACGUCUCACUCUCCUUUCAUUCUCAUCAGGCCCAUUUGAAUUUCCUACUUCUCUACCUUGUGCUUCUUCACUGCCCUCACUCUCACUUCUUUCCCCUCUAUAACCAUUGUCAGCUUCAUCUCCAUUUUCACUCACCCUCUCUUCACCUUCAUUGUUUUCUUCAUUCUCUCCCCACUCCAAGUCUAAAAAGAUUUACGCCUCAUAAUUCACUCCCCAAUCCCACUGUUUUUCUUCCUCAAAAAUAACAUCUCUACUCACAACAAUUUUUCUAGCAAUAGGAUCAAACAAUCUAUACCCCUUGGACUCCUCACUAACUCCCAGUAAGACACAAGAAAAACUUUUAUUAUCUAAUUUACCUCUUCUUGCAUCUGGAAUGUGAACAUGAGCUAGGCAUCCAAAGACCCGAAAAUGCUUAACUGAGGGUUUUACUCCACUCCAUGCCUCUUGUGGUGUGACAUUCUUCACUACCAAUGUCGGGCACCUAUUCAGAACAUAGAAAGUCCAAUUCACAGCCUCCGGCCAAAAGGAAUCCUCUUAUCAGACAACACGGAACGGACCAUAUUCAUCACGGUUCGAUUUUUCAUCUCAGCUACGCCGUUUUGUUGUGGUGUAUAUGCAGUGGUUAAUUGUCUUUUGAUUCCACUUUGUUUGCAAAAAUCAUUGAAGUCAUUUGAAGUGAAUUCACCCCCUCUAUCUGUCCGCAAGCACUUGACAAACAAUCCUUUCUCUUUCUCCACCAUCUUUUUGAAAAGCUUGAAGCAAUUCAGUGCCUCACACUUUGCUGUCAACAGAUAUACCCAUGAUUUACGACUAUAAUCAUCAAUAAAACAUAAUGUGUACCUCUUGCCACUGUUGGAUAUAGGGGAAAUAGGCCCGCAAAUGUCUGCAUGAAUGAGCUCCAAUGGCUGACUUGCUCUCCACGUACUUAUCUUUGGUAUGUCAUCUCGGUGUUGUUUGCCAUUAAUGCAAUCCAUGCAUGUUGUGUUUGAAGCUUGAAACUGAGGAAGUCUAUGAACCAUCUUCUUGUUUUGCAAGGUUCUCAAACCUUUGUGACUCAAGUGGCCAUAUCGCCGAUGCCAAAGGGAAGAGAGAUCUUGAGAGCUUGUAUGAAUACAUCUUUCUGGCUGAGCAUUUGUAGGGACUGGAGUCUGGGCUAGUAGUAUAAACAUUCUAUUUACACUCAUCACAGUCUGAAUAAUCAAGCCCUUCAUCGGAUGAUAGAUUUUACAGACUCCCCCUUUAAUCAAUAUUGCCAAGCCUCUUUCUUGAAGUUGUCCUAUGCUCAAGAGAUUAUUUUUGAGCUCUGGAACAUAGUACACUUCAUGGACAACAUGGUUAACUCCAUUCAAUAGCAGCUUCACAUUUCCCUUUCCAACCACAUUUAUCCUACUAUUGUUUUCCAAUUUAACUGAAUGUAGAAAGCUCUCAUCUAGAUUGGUGAACAUACCUCGAUUUCCACACAUAUGAUUGGAACAUCUCGAGUCAAGGAACCAUGCAUCAUUCCGUUUCACCUCAUGUGAUUCAACAUAUGACAUCAAAAGCAUCUCAUCCUCUUCAUUCACUUCUGUGUAAUUGGCUUCCUUAUCCCACUUUGGACACUCAUACUGGAAAUGUCCAAGAUUGUGACACUUGAAGCAUUCCACCUCAGCUCUGUUGAAUGUCUGACCUCUUCUUCCACGACCUCUGCCUCCAACUCUUUCAUCAGUUGUCACCUUCAGAGCUUGCUCAACGCCACUGCUCCUGUGAAACUUUUUCUCAUGCACAAUGAGCGAGCUUUGAAGCUCAUCAAUAGUGAGUGCAUCCAUAUCCCUAGACUCCUCAAUCGAACAGACUAUAUAAUUAAAUUUGUCGGCGAGGGAUCUAAGAAUCUUCUCACAAAUUGUAACAUCAGUCAUAGCCUCCCCAUACACUCUCAUCUUGUUUGCUACUGACAUGACUCUAGCAAAAUAAUCAGUAAUUGUUUCACCAACCUUCAUUUCGAGAGUUUCAAAGUCUCUUCUCAAGGCUUGAAGAGUCGAGCGCUUCACUCUAGCAUUGCCUUCAUAUUUCUUUUUCAUGGACUCCCAGAUCUUCUUUGAUGUAUCCUUCUCCAAGAUCGUCUCUAGAAUAGUUCUAUCUAUCGCUUGGAAAAGAUAGUUCUUGGCCUUGAGGUCCUUGAGCUUCAAUGCUUCUAACUCUUUCUGCUGCCCUUCUGAUAGAGGUCGUGCUCCUGUCAUCGGCUCUUCAUAACCGGUUUCAAUCAGACUCCAAUACUCUUUGCUUCGAAGAAAAUUUUCCAUAAGCAUGCUCCAAUGGUCAUAAUGACCAUCAAAACGUGGAAUGGAUGGUUGCACAAAAUUUCCUUCGAAGGUCAUCUUCUUCUCUCUCUCUCUGUGUGUUCGGAAAUCACUCAAAAGCUGCGGCUUCUUUUCUCAGGCCCAGUGGGGGGCUCUGAUACCAGUUUGUUGAGAAUGGGAACAAGAAAGUAAAUAACUCAAACGCAAGAACUGGAUUGAAUGACUUAUUAUUGAACAGCAACCUUUGGCUAUUAUAUAGCCUUACAUGAACUAACAAACAACUGAAAUACAGCCCACGAUUCACACUAACAGAAACGUGGUAAUGUGCAUAAGGAAAGAGUCAAAAAACAGUAAACAAGUCUCCCUACAUAAUAGGGACUUAUUUGAAACAGAAAACAAUCCUAAAUAUCUGAGAAUCCUAUACUAAUAAGGAAUCCCAAACCCGUCACUAAUUGUAUCCAAUAAAUUCGACAAACGUAGUGCUUCAAGAAAGUACUAAAAUUAUAAUCAUUUGAUUGAGUGGUCAAAUGAUAUUGGAUUGAAGUGAUUUUUUAAAGAAAUGAUUUUUGAAUUAAUAUCUAUAAAAUAGACGAUUCAUAUUAGUGAAAUAUAAUACGAAGUCGAGACAAACCAUGAAUCAAUUCAAGAUCAAAACAUUUUUUAUGAGCUGAAGUUGGAAAUGAGUCUGAAAAAGUAAAAAGAGAUGCAAAGAAAGAAAUACAUGCAAAAAACUAUAAUUCCUAAUUAAUAAAGAAGUGCAAAAUUACGUAAAAUAAGGGAGGUAAGUUACAUGGAGAAUUUCCAUAGUACAUGAGAUGAGAGAGAGAAAGAAAUAUUUUUUGAGCAUGCAAUUAACGAUGCUAAUUAGUUUCGUAAUUAGUAGAGAAGAAACAUAUUUUAUAGGUAUAAUUAAUUGGUGGACACACCUCACCCCCGCACUCACCUACCCCACCAGGCGGGGCCCCAAUAAAAGGAAAUUGUGACUUAAAUUUUAAAAAUUCUCGUGGUUAAAGGGAAAAAGAUAGAUUCGUUCUAUGACUGUUGACGACACCAAAACCAAAAUAAUAAAAUAAUAAAAUAUACUAACAGUGGUAAAAUAAUAAAAUAUAAGAAAAAGUUUCACACCUUCAAAUUUAAGAGGAGUUCAUAAUAAAAACAAAUAGAAUUUUGACACUUGUUAAAUUCUUUUAACGUUUUGUACUUUGAAUUUCUUUUACUUUUUUUUAAGAAUUUGAUUGUUACUUGUGAGGAACGAGCUCGCCCUUAAUUUUAAGAAAAAUACUAAAUUUAUCAUAUUUUUAUACCACAUUAUAUAUCAUCUUUCUAAUAGAAGUGAUCCCUAUUAUAUUGAUAAGCUCCACCUCUAUUAGAGAAAUAGUAUAUAUUAUAGUAUAAAAAUAUGAUAAACCUAACAUUACCCUAAUUUUAAUCUAAUAUGAACCCUCACCACAUUAAUGCAUUCAUAAUUAACUUUUUGUUUUUGUUUGUUCUUAAUUAUUAAAGAAAAACCAAAAGCCAACCUCAGUUUCUCUCUCUCUUCCAUAUGUAAAGAAAGAAAGCGAACCUAAAAUAAAUUAAUAUUGUCAAAUCCUUAUCAAGAAAGAAAGCAAGCUGGCAAAUAAUGCGUGGCUGUUCCGGAUGCUGCCUUUUCUCUGUCUUGAUCAUUUGUAGUGGUAUCUUGGAUGGAUUUGGUGUCUACUUGAUUGUCUACCAUGGGCUCUAGACAUUAUUUUAGACUGAAGAUUAGUACUGCAAUUCCACACAAAAAAGAGAGAAAAGAUUCUGAUAUGAGAUUGUGUGUGACAUUUUAGAAAGAGGAAAAAUCAACCUUCCAUCACGUCCUAUCUUAAUUGUUGAGGAGCCAAACAAAACAACAUAAUUAACUAUCAACGCAAUAAAAACAUGAACUAUCUUGAAAACGUUGAAUAUAUGCUUCAAAUCUUGAAAACGUUGGCCUCCAAUUCUUAGUAUUUUUCUACUUGUGUGUAAAGGGGAAAUUGGAGACUGUAUCGUUACAAUAUAAUGAGUCUAAUUAAUGAGCCACCCAACAAAGUUUGUUAUUUACAAGUUAAUAUUCUUGUAAAUAUUCCUUCACGUGAGGGGCAUGUGUGGUCAAAAUUUAACGGAAUUGGGAGGAAUUUGACAAAAAUUGAAACGUGUCCUUCAAUUGAUCCGAAUUUAAAAAUACAAGAUUAAAUUUUCAAAAUUAAAACUACAUGGUCCAAGUUAUAAAACCGGCAAAUUAUAUGACCAAAAGUAACUUUUUGCCAAAAAAUAAACAAUAAUUAAUAAUUAAUUUUCGGAAAAAAUAAGUUAAUGACUUUUUCCUUCUUUAUACUACUGUAUGGAAACAUACAAUUUAAUCCAUGAGAGAAAAAAAAAUAUUUUCUGAGCAAUUUAAUCCUAAUUAAUUUGUUUAGUAGAUAAACAUAUAAUUUGGGUGGACAAUAAAACCAUGAUGCAAUGCAGACAUGCUAUAAUGAAUAAAAAAAUAAAAAAAUUAUGGCUACUUAAGUCUUCCAGAGGUUGUCCUUGGAUUUAUGCAGAAUAUAUAAGAUAGUUUCAAAGCGUUAACCCAAUUAGUUUUUUGCUACAUGUGCGUAAAGUAUUAAGAAAUUGAAGAAGAAAUCAAACCAAACGUGAAUUUGUAUCACAAUAGGGUGAUUAGUUUAGAGAAAUUUUUAGAUCAAGGCAAAAUGGAGUUUUUUUCACUCAACAAAAAUUCUCGACUUCGAAGCACAGCUUUUUAAGAUAUAACCUCACGUAUUUUACCAAUUAGGAGAUCAAGUUAGAGACUAUAUCGUUACAACAAUUGGUCUAAUGAGGCACCCAACAAAGUUUCGUCUUCACAAGUUAAUUGGUCGGUGUACUUCACCUCUUUGUCUUUUAGCUCGUAAUCGGGAGCUUAUUUUGGAAUACCAAUGGGCUAUUACUUUAAUGUCUUCUUAUGUUCCAGCAACUGGUGCUGUGCGGCGAUGGUCUCCACCUUAUGGUACUUUUGUGAAGUUAAAUGUUGAUGGGGUUGUCAAUUUGCCAUUUCGUUUUAGGGGUUUAGGGGUUGUUAUUCGGGAUGGUAUGGAUGAUUUAUUGUUGACUGCCUCUAAAGGCAUGUUUUCUCCUAAAGCUACUGAAAUUUAUGCUACAAUCUCGAGCUUGCGGAUUGCAAGUCAAAUGAGGUAUCGUUAUAUUGUUUUAGAAAUGGAUGCAAAAGAGGUUAUUUUGAGCUUUCAAACUUCUUAGCAAAGCUGGUCGAUCGAGGGUGUUUUAGUUGAUGAAGUCAGGGGCCUUUUUAAUCUUUUUGCUAGCAUUUCUUGUUGAUUUGCUCCUCGGGAGUGUAAUCAGGUUGCUCAUCUAUUUGCUAAGUAGGCACUUCUGUCUCAAGAUUUUCAAGUUUGGCUAGAGGAUGGUCCUUUGUGGCUUUCUGAUGUUUUGGCCAAUAACAAGUUAUUUUCUUAAUUUUUUAUUUUAUAUCGGUUGUGAUGUUGUAGUACUCUUUUUUCUUGACUGGAUUUUUCUCCAUUUGGGGUUUUUUAAAGACAAGAUUUUAAUAAGGCUACACUUGUUGCAUCACUGAAGUCCAGGUCUUACCGUAUCUCUUUGUCUUGCAGAUACUUCUCAUAUGCCGAAGAGUCCAAAGAGGCCGAAAGUGAUGCAACAUCAAUUGGGCCCAAAAGUACUCGACCAUUUUUAUGCAUCAACAACUUAAGCACUAGAAUGAAGAAUAUAUAUAUAUAUAUAUAUAUAUAUUAUUGUUUUGUCCACUUAAGUCUUCCAGGUCAUGUUUGGUACUCCUCACUGGACUGGACUACGUUAAAUAGUACUCGAAAUCCAUGUUUAGUAAGAGACGAGACUAACUUAAAUGAGACUGUAUAGUCCAAUAAUGGAAAAAAUGCAUCACUUGCUCGUCUAAUAUAUAGUGAGCCUGAAAAGUGGUUCGCUAAAUAGCACGCUCGCUAAAUAAAACAUGUGAGUCCAACGCCUCUCUUUAAAAAAUAUUAUAAUUUUAUUUGUUUUCUUUUUAUUAUUGUUUAUAUCUUUGAAUGUUUUUUUUUGGUAGCAUUUAUUUAUUUAUAGAUCAAAAUCCGUAAUUAAAUUUAAAAAUUACAAGAAUUAUUUUGAUAUUGCAUUUGGAAAAUCAAACUACAAUAAUUUACAAAUGUUUGAUAUUUUUUUGAUAUUGAAACAAGUUUAAUAAUUCAUGAUGUGAUGCUUUCUUUAUCGCUAGUAAUUUUAACUUUGUCAAAUGAUAUUUUUUAGUUUGAAGUCAAAAGUCAAAUAUACAAAAAUUAUAUAUAUUCUUUUUUUAAUUAUUGUUUUACAUGCUUCCUGAAAAACCUAGAAUUAUAUAGAGUGAGCUUAGCUCAUUUAGCAAUGUUUCGACGAACAAAAAAAUAAAUAAAGAUUUGUAGUAGUCUUGGGGCAAGGCUAGGGAGCAACUAAGAUUAAUCUUGAGAAGCCAAAAAACAAAUAUCAUAAUUUUAUUCUUCAUUAAAAAAAAAAAUUAUUUGUUUUCUUUUUAUUAUUGUUUUAAAUCUUUUUUUUUUGUGUUGUUGUCAGAUAUUGUAAUAAAUCUUUGAAUUGGGAACCCCUAAUUAAAUUUAAAUAUUACAAGAAUAUUUUUUUAGUCCGACACAACACCAAACGUAGGUCUUCAUUCUUUUCACAAUCUAACUUCUUAGUUCGACGCAACACUAAACGUAGGUCAGUACUUAUCUCAGUUAGGCCAAUCCGAGCUAAUCCAAUACAGUCCCAUAAUUUAGUUUAAUCCAUGACAGUCCACCGUACCAAAUGAUCCACCAAAGUUUUCCUUGGAUUUAUACAAAAUAUAUACUUAAUAUCUUGAAAGCGUUGCUCCAAAAUUUAAGAAAUUUAAGAAGAAAUCAAACCAAAUGUGACUUUGUAUAUACAAAAGCGCGAUAGGGUGAUUACUGUAGAGAAAUUUUUAGAUCAAGGCAAAAUGGAGUUGACUCAAAAAAAAAUUUCUUGAAUUCGAAGUAAAAUUAUCUUCAUAUAUAAUUUUUUUUUUCCUAUGAACUAAUAAAGAUUGCAUGUAUUAUCUAGUAACAUUAUAAAUGGGAGAUUCACAACAAGGAAAAAGAAAAAACACCUUAUAACCCAUGGACCUCAAAAGAGAGCAAUAUGCUGUUAGAACUAAUGGUUGAUGCUGCCAACCGUGGAUGGCGCGAUUCUAAUGGUUUGCUAAGCAAGCAAAUAGUAGAAAGCAAGAUACUUCCUGUUCUUAAUGCAAAACUUGGAUGCCAAAAAACUUAUCAUCAAUCUCAGAGCCAUCUGAAAUAGUUUAAGACAAGAUGUCACAGUUUUACUCAGCUUAUGUGUCAUAGUUCUGGAUUUGAGUGGGACUCCGGCUCAAAGAAAUUCACAGCUAUCGAAGAAGUAUGGCAAAAUUACUUUAAGGUAAGAUUUCAAUUUUGUUAAAUAUUACUUUGUAAUGAUAACUUUCACUUUCGUACUUUUUGCAUGUUAUUAAUUUAUUUUAUUUUAUUUUGGGUUUUUGCUAGUCUCAUCCAAGUCAAGUGCAUCUUCAAAGAUAUACAUUUGCAGAAUAUGAGGAUUUGGUAAUUGCAAUUGGCAAUGGAACAGCUGCUGGGAAAAACUCAAUUGGACUUGUUGAUGAUACUGAUGCUAGAACGUAUGAAGUUGGAGAAAUGAGACCUACUAGAUUGCAGGAUACCAAUGAGGCAUUUGUACCAAGUCAAAAUGAAACAUCAUACCAAUCUUUGUCGUCUGGUAAUUUUACUUCAUCACCUUUUCUAGACACAAAUUUGGAGGCUGCAUUAGAAAAGCUCCCUCAAAGAAAGAAACCUAAAACUGAGUCUGAAGCAAAUAAUAAUUCAGUUGAGACCAUAACUCGAGCUGAACUGGUAGAAAAAGUUUAUGUGGGCAUAGAUUCAAUUGCUGCAAUUACCACUGAAAUUCGAGGAAUACAUAGCCUAAUGGAGAGAGAGAGAGAGAGAGAGAGAGAGAGAGAGAGAGAGAGAGAGAGAACCAACAAUGUUUGGGAUGCUAUCAAUGAGACUCCGAACUUGGAUAAUCGUGCUCGUUACAAAGCACUUGGACUGGUUCAUAAGUUGGGAAUGAAAAAUGCAUUCCUAAAAAUGUUACCUGAAGAGCGCUCAGAGUGGAUACUAUACAAUAUGGAAUGAGUGUGGUUCUUUGAGAUUAUGUUUAUCAUUUUAGAUUAUAUUGAAACUUUGGUUUAAACUAUUUUUAUCAUGUUGGUUUAAAAUAUUUUUAAGACUUUGGUUUGGAAGUAUUUACCAUUUUGGAGAAGUGUUAAGACUUUAUUAGUUUGGAAUUUGUUGAACUCUGGUUUAGAAUUAAUUAUUUGGGUAAUGUUUAUGUGUGUUACUUAUGAGUAUUGCUUGUGUUUUAUGUGUCUUUAUGCUUUUUUAGUUUUGUCUUUUCAUUAAUGGUAUUUUAUUUUAAUCUAUAUAGUUAUUUACAAUGUUAUAUGUGAACUUCAGAUAGAUUUUUUUUUUUGUUAUUAAUGGAGAUGGAAGAAGUAGAUGCAGUACUAUGGAAUGAAGAAAUCGAGGAAGGAAAAGAAGAAGAGGAAAUGGAUGACGAAGAAUUAGAGAGACAUGAUAAACAGCCCCCCAAAAAAAAAAAAAAUCAUUUUAGAACUCUAAUAAACUCUUUUAAAAUCUAUGAUAAAACUCUAAAGAACACCAUUAAAAUCAAUUUAGGAAUUCAAGCAACUCUAUGUGGAGUUUAUAGAAAUCAAUUGAAAUAUAUUGAACUCUAUAAACUUAACAACUCCGUUUAACUUUUUUAAAAUCUUAAUUGAAUACACUCACCUUAAACUUCUUUAAAAUCUAAAUUGAAUACACCCCCUUAUUUUUUUUACAAAUAAAUCUAUUUAGCAUGACAUAUUAUACAAAAACCCAUAUAGAACCUAUUUGGAGAGAAAAAAAACCCAAAACUAGCCACUUGGUAUUUUC